rnacentral:rRNA from 1 species
CCUACGGGUGGCAGCAGUGGGGAAUCUUGCGCAAUGGGCGAAAGCCUGACGCAGCGACGCCGCGUGAGUGAUGAAGGCCUUCGGGUUGUAAAGCUCUGUGGGGAGAGACGAAUUAGUAGAGGCCAAUACCCUCUAUGAUGACGGUACCUCCUUAGCAAGCACCGGCUAACUCUGUGCCAGCAGCCGCGGUAAGACAGAGGGUGCAAACGUUGUUCGGAAUUACUGGGCGUAAAGCGUGUGUAGGCGGCCAUGCAAGUCGGAUGUGAAAGCCCCGG